rnacentral:rRNA from 1 species
UACGUAGGGGGCAAGCGUUGUCCGGAUUUAUUGGGCGUAAAGAGCGUGUAGGCGGCCAGACAGGUCAGCUGUGAAAACUCGAGGCUCAACCUCGAGACGUCGGUUGAAACCGUCUGGCUAGAGUCCGGAAGAGGAGAGUGGAAUUCCCGGUGUAGCGGUGAAAUGCGCAGAUAUCGGGAAGAACACUCGUGGCGAAGGCGGCUCUCUGGGACGGUACUGACGCUGAGACGCGAAAGCGUGGGGAGCGAACAGG